CAACUGGUAUGUAUUAAUUGUGUAAGAGUGUGCCUUUUCUGUCAUCUCUAGUGUCACCAUCGUUGCAGCUCCAUUUCUGACACCAGUCAAGCAUAAAUAUUGCUCUUCCAUAGAAGUUACAUGUGUGUUUGAUGGUAGUGGGGGAAAUUGAUGCUUCCUAAAUUUGAAAAUGGCACCGAGGUAUGACUCAUGCUGGAGGAGAAAAGUCAAGAGCCAGCAAAGUACUUGCAAAAGAUACAGAAGAAAGAAUCAAAGUGGAGGCCAGGUGACUAUUGCACUGAAGGAAUACCUUGUCUUCCUGAAUAUACUACAUUUACACCAGUUAUGAGUCAGUUCUGAGAUUUUGGCAGGUUUGCUUUGAUACAGCUAAAAUACUGUCUUCCUUGUCUAAAUGGCUGCAUUACAAGAAAGUGAUCAUUUUCUGAAACUGAAAGACACUUGGAGCUGAGUGAUAUCAAUGAUAGACUCUAACUGAUUAUCAUCCUCGUUACUAAUAAGCUGUUUUCCCAAUGUCUAUGUCCUAUUUAAGAGCAAAUAAUAUUGUUAGAUUAUUGAUGUUGAAAUAUCCAGUGAAAAAUAUUUAGAUUUGCUUUUGUCGGCAUUACAUAACCCCAAUUUUCACCAUGUAAAUAUCAAAACAUAUUUAAAAUGUCUUGGAAGUUUGUUUUUGUCAUGCACAAGCAUAUCAAAUACAUUACAAUGAGGACCAUGUAUUUGAGUUUCUUUAUGAUUUUUUUUUUUUUUAAGAAACCAUUAAGUUUGGAUGAGAAAGUGUUGGAGAUCUUAAUUUGUGCUGUCUGAGCUGACCAUGAGAUGCACAAAUUAGACUGGGAUGAGAAUAGAUUGAGAUCAUAGAGAGAGCUCUCUGGUUUCUCUGCCUGAGAUCAAAAAGACGCACCAAACUUGAGACAAUCUGAGAAUUAUGUGAGAGCUU